AUGGCUAGAGACAUAGAAUCUAAUAUUAUGAAUAUUUUUCUUUUAUGAUUGUUUUGAGGUUCUAUUUAUUCAUCCUUUUUUUGUAGGACCUUGAAUAUAUGGCUAUAUCUCAUGAGAUUUUGACAUCAAAAGUUAUUGAAGAGGCAUAUUCUGAUAUGAUCCACAGAUGUGUUAGAGACAAGUGCUGCUCACCAAAUUCACCAGGUGAUUCUUAUGGACCAAAGUUGACCCUUGAACCAUCAAGUUUGAAUUGCACAGGUCUACCUCUACAUGGAAUUUUUUUCAAUAAAUACAGUACAGUGCUAUAAAUACAUUUUGUCUUCCUUAUGACUUUCUUAAUAAGCUUACCUAAUUGAAACAAUAGAGUAUAGAAUACAUAUGACACAAAAUAUGUAUUCAUUGACUGUUUUUUGAUAUUGGUAAGGCUUUCAUUCAACAGUAGGCUAUUAGUAGUAAAGUUGUGAGGGAGUCAAAAGUUGUAUGUGGAUUGUUACUGUGCAGGGGGGUUGGUACCCCUAACCGCUACAUUGUUCAAGGAAGGAUCAACUAUAUAACAUUUAAAAAUCUUUCACCUAGAUCUUUGAAGAGGUAUUCUGUGGUUGAUGAGGGCAGCUGCACCAAAAUAAGAACUUUCAAAAAUACUAUCUCCUGACCAUUUUAUCGUGGGGUUUCAAAUCUGAAUCACCUCUUUGGUUAAAACAUAUUUACAGAGAUUGGAUUUAUAUUUAAGUAAGUGUUAUCUGAGAGAAUUUUAAAUGCAUAAACCACAUAAAAUGCUUUAUCAUAUCACUAUAUGUAGAUGUAUUAAAUUAGUUGGAUUAGAGAAGGUUGAUGGGAGCUAACUAACAGGAAAAACCAGUAAAGAAACGGCUAUCCUAUUUUAAUUAUGGAAAAGGGGGAUGAAGAAAUAGGGAAUGAAGUGGAUUAUAGGGCUAUGGAGCUCUUUUGUCAAAUACUUUGCAUCAGCUUCCAGUCCCACUCAUUUCUUCACAUGCCAGAGCCUGCUACCUGCCACCAUUUCCUAUUGAACCCAUCCUGAGUAGGGCUGUGCACCUCACUCUCUUCCCAUAUGGGGAAAAUACCAGCUUUGCAUAAACAGGACUGCAUCCUAUGCUCUCUUUUUCCCCAGUCCAGGCACUUUCUAGAUUGACAAGAAAACCCUCAGGGCAGUGGUUGUGGGUAUGUAUCCAACACUGCAUUAGGCAUUAUCUUUGUCAGACAGUAAAAACAGAAAGUUCCAGUGAUGCUCUAUGAAUAUAGAUGUUUCUCAAACUUUACCUUUCACUCAGCGUGGUGCUAGAUCUAGGC
rnacentral:lncRNA from 12 species